rnacentral:rRNA from 1 species
GGUGGGGGAGGCCUUACCAUGCCAAGUCGAACGGCAGCACGGGGGCAACCCUGGUGGCGAGUGGCGAACGGGUGCCUUUACAUCGGAACGUGUCCUGGAGUGGGGGAUAGCCCGGCCCAUUGCCGGAUUAAUACCGCAUACGCUCUAAGGAGGAAAGGGGGGAUCGAAAGACCUCGCGCUCAAGGGGCGGCCGAUGGCAGAUUAGCUAGUUGGUGGGGUAAAGGCCUACCAAGGCGACGAUCUGUAGCUGGUCUGAGAGGACGACCAGCCACACUGGGACUGAGACACGGCCCAGACUCCUACGGGAGGCAGCAGUGGGGAAUUUUGGACAAUGGGGGCAACCCUGAUCCAGCAAUGCCGCGUGUGUGAAGAAGGCCUUCGGGUUGUAAAGCACUUUUGUCCGGAAAGAAAACCUCUGGGUUAAUACCCCGGGGGGAUGACGGUACCGGAAGAAUAAGCACCGGCUAACUACGUGCCAGC